GUAGAUUGCUUUUGGAAAAUGGU
rnacentral:piRNA from 1 species